rnacentral:tRNA from 2 species
GGGCGAUUAGCUCAGUGGGAGAGCGCUGCCUUCACACGGCAGAGGUCACUGGUUCGAUCCCAGUAUCGCCCACCA